rnacentral:rRNA from 7 species
GGUUGACCUCGAAUCAGGUAGG